CAAUAGCGUAUAUUAAAGCUGUUGCGGUUAAAAAGCUCGUAGUUGGAUUUCUGUCAAGGACAACUGGUCCGCCCCUCGGGUGAGCACAUAGUUUGGUCUUGGCAUCUUGUUGGAAACUGUUGCUGCACUUGGUUGUGUGGCGCAGUGUCCAGCACUUUCACUUUGAGGAAAUUGGAGUGUUUCAAGCAGGCACAUGCCUUUGGACACAGUAGCAUGGAAUAAUUAGAUUGGGCUUUUGCGCCAACUUGUCGGUUUCUGGAGCUGAGGUGAGAAUUAAUGGGGAUUGUUGGGGGCAUCCGAAUUUAGCCGUCAGAGGUGAAAUUCUUGGAUCUGCUAAAGACGGACAACUGCGAAAGCGUUUGCCCAGGAUGUUUUCAUUGA
rnacentral:rRNA from 1 species